AUCUUCCACAAUGGGCGAAAGCCUGAUGGAGCAACGCCGCGUGAGUGAAGAAGGAUUUCGGUUCGUAAAACUCUGUUGUAAGGGAAGAACAAGUACAGUAGUAACUGGCUGUACCUUGGCGGUACCUUAUUAGAAAGCCACGGCUAACUCUGUGCCAGCAGCCGCGGUAAUACGUAGGUGGCAAGCGUUGUCCGGAAUUAUUGGGCGGAAAGCGUGCGCAGGUGGUUUCUUAAGUCUGAUGUGAAAGCCCACGGCUCAACCGUGGAGGGUCAUUGGAAACUGGGAGGCUUGAGUGCAGAAGAGGAUAGUGGAAUUCCAAGUGUAGCGGUGAAAUGCGUAGAGAUUUGGAGGAACACCAGUGGCGAAGGCGACAAUCUGGUCUGUAACUGACACUGAGGCGCGAAAGCGUGGGGAGCAAACA
rnacentral:rRNA from 1 species